CUUGACCCAAUAAGAGGUCCAGCCUGCCCAGUGACCCUGUUCAACGGCCGCGGUAUCCUAACCGUGCGAAGGUAGCGUAAUCACUUGUCCCCUAAAUAGGGACUAGUAUGAAAGGCAUCACGAGGAUUAAACUGUCUCCUCUCUCUGAUCAGUAAACCUAAUCUCCCCGUGAAGAAGCGGGAAUUUUAAUAUAAGACGAGAAGACCCUAUGGAGCUUAAAACACUAUAUCACCCGCCACACUAUUCCAUCCAGAUUACUCACCCUGGCGCACUGAUUAUAAAGUUUUCGGUUGGGGUGACCAUGGAGAAAAACUCAUCCUCCAUAGCAACUAGAACAAACAAGUUACAACUUUCAUCUCAAUAAAUUGACACCAUUGACCCA
rnacentral:rRNA from 1 species